rnacentral:rRNA from 1 species
UACAGAGGUCCCAAGCGUUGUUCGGAUUCACUGGGCGUAAAGGGUGCGUAGGUGGUCAGGUAAGUCUGAUGUGAAAGCUCUGGGCUCAACCCAGAAAUGGCAUUGGAUACUAUCUGGCUAGAGGAAUGGAGGGGGGACUGGAAUACUUGGUGUAGCGGUGAAAUGCGCAGAUAUCAGGAGGAACACCGGUGGCGAAGGCGGGUCUCUGGGCCGAUACUGACGCUGAGGAGCGAAAGCGUGGGGAGCGAACAGG